rnacentral:rRNA from 1 species
AGCUAACGCUGGCGGCAUGCCUAACACAUGCAAGUCGAACGGAAACUUGGCUUCGGUUAAGUUUUAGUGGCAAACGGGUGAGUAACGCGUGGGAAUCUACCCUCUGGUGGGGGAUAACUGAAGGAAACUUCAGCUAAUACCGCAUAUUCUUGGAAACAAGGAAAGAUUUAUCGCCAGAGGAGGAGCCUGCGUCAGAUUAGGUAGUUGGUAGGGUAAUGGCCUACCAAGCCUGUGAUCUGUAGCUGGUCUGAGAGGAUGAUCAGCCACACUGGGACUGAGACACGGCCCAGACUCCUGCGGGAGGCAGCAGUGGGGAAUAUUGGACAAUGGGGGAAACCCUGAUCCAGCAAUGCCGCGUGAAUGAAGAAGGCCUUCGGGUUGUGAAGCACUUUCAGUGGGGAGGAGGGCAAUUAGGUUAAGAGCUAGAUUGUUGGACGUUACCCACAGAAGAAGCACCGGCUAACUCCGUGCCAGCCGCCGCCGUAA